GCCUACGGGGGGCAGCAGUAGGGAAUUUUCGUCAAUGGGCGCAAGCCUGAACGAGCGAUGCCGCGUGAGUGAAGGAGGCCUUCGGGUCGUAAAGCUCUGUUGCGGGGGAAAAAAGGCAGCAUCAGGAAAUGGGUGCUGACUGAUGGUGCCCCGCCAGAAAGUCACGGCUAACUACGUGCCCGCAGCCGCGGUAAUACGUAGGUGGCGAGCGUUAUCCGGAAUGAUUGGGCGUAAAGGGUGCGCAGGCGGGCCUGCAAUUCUGAAGUGAA
rnacentral:rRNA from 1 species